GUCCCUUGCGUCCUUGGCCUUCCCUCGGCACCUCCGUCCAUGUUCAGAGUUUUCAGAAGAAUUUGUUAGGUCUGUAAUCUGAUUCUGGGGAAGGUUUUCUCACUGGGAAAUGCUGGAGCCGUUUUUCUGAGCUGAACUUUCCCAUCUGGAAUCUGUCUGGUUGGUGGUGCCCUGACCCCACCUUCAGUCAGCCCAUGGGUCUCCCCGCCAACUUCCUACUCACCCAAUGUCCUGUGUUGGCCCUGAGGCCAGUGUCAGAGGAGAAAGAAGAGGAGGAAGAGCACCAGCUGAAGGCCACUGAGACCCCGAUCACAACCCCCAGGUGCUUUCCCAGACCCUGAGGUAGGACUGUGAAGGUGUACUGAUGCCCUUGCCAAAUGAAAGGAAACUGUUCCUGAUGGUUCUUAUUAACAGUGAUGGAGAAAAAAAUAUUUAACACAUCAAUGGCUGAAUACUGGGUAUCAGGGGAUGUAUUAAUUUGCUCAAACUACAAAACCACAUCUGUUACAACAUCUUCAAUUGGAUCUGAUUAAGCUUACAAUAAUCUAAUAUCAUUAUCCAAGAUCCCUGCGUCUUCUGUGGAGGUAAAAUAGGAGAGGUGAAUGGCAAGGUUGUGGGAAUCACUGUCUCUGCACGCUUCAAGUCCCAAUAUAUGGAAUUCCUCCAGGAAUGCAAGACUGCUUUUGGUUUACAGUUUAGCUGGGAAGAGGCAGUUCUAGUGGCUCCCACUGGGCCCACUCUAAUAACCCUCACUCAACAAGUGAGGGAACCACUGUGGGGGUUGUGAUAGUUGUUGAAUAUGUCUAUUCCAAUGUUGCCCUCUGGAACUGGGGAUACAGCCACAGGGUGGGUUUAGGGAUACACUGGAUUCACUAUGGAACACGUGAGCUCAAACUCCACCAAUCACCUUGCCUCUAGCAGCCACUACUCUGACUGGAGGGCCACAGUGACGUUUCGGGUCUCCUGGAAUUAAUGUCAGUUCAUACCCCAUUUCCAGUAAUGCCCAAAUUAUCUGAUUAUUUUCCCCAAGGCUCCAUUGCCAUUGUAAAAGGCUGCAGGUCCCUUUAACCAAAGUCCAGGAGAAAGAUUAAGAGUAUAUAUUCUUGGUAGUGUACCAGGGACAGUGCCCUCACGGGAACCCUGCCUGGGAUCCCUUUAAUUCAGGGGAUUCUGGCUCUAUGAACUGACUCAGUGCUAGCCAUUGAUUGAGAGACUGUGGCUCUCUGCUUUUAUGAUUUGGGUUGACUUUUGUUCACUUGACAUAGAAAUUUUCUGCUUAUACAGAUCAAGUGAGAAUUUAGUAGGUUUCCUAUCUAUCUCCCUUGUUAGAAUGCCGUGAUCAACUAGCCAACACCAUAAGUCUGCGGGACUAUUCCGAUCGCUGGUUUGACUUUGCUGUCCAUCAUGGUAACCAAACCCACCUUGCCUUUGGUGGCUGAGUUCCUCUACUUGGCCCCUGUCUCUCUGGGGGCCAAGAGGUAGGGGCCAAAUUACUCCCAUUACAUUUAGAUUUUUUAAAAUUCAGCAGUUCCACUGUAGGUUCCAGCUUCCAGAGAAGAGAAAUCACAGAGCUCCUCAAGGAUGCCAGAGCUCCCUUUGCAAUAUUGUUGAAAGAUACAUCUUCUGAUGCUUCCAAUGUGGGUUACUAGGUUUGAUACAUGCAUGGUAACAUUACAGUCUUCCUAAGCCUUUAAGUUAAUUCCUCUGCAGCAAACCAAGGCAUGUCUGGCAUUUUGAGUUUAUUUACUGCAGGCCAGCUUUUGCUCCAUGUUUCAGCCAAUCAACCAGACAAACUGGUAGAAUCAUUUCCGGUUCUCCAAGAUGCAACAUUAAAUGUGCAAUCUCUGUUUAGUGAGCUUAUAUAUAUAAAUUCGGUCCGACUCAACUUUAUGUUCUUUUCACCAUUAUCCUAAACCCUUAAUAUCCACUCUGACACGUGUUCCUCAGACUUCUGUAUGGAUAAAUUAGAAAAAUAAAUAAAUUACUUUGGAGUGUA